rnacentral:rRNA from 1 species
UACGGAGGGGGCUAGCGUUGUUCGGAAUUACUGGGCGUAAAGCGCACGUAGGCGGCUUUGUAAGUUAGAGGUGAAAGCCCAGGGCUCAACCCUGGAAUUGCCUUUAAGACUGCAUCGCUUGAACAUCGGAGAGGUAAGUGGAACUCCGAGUGUAGAGGUGAAAUUCGUAGAUAUUCGGAAGAACACCAGUGGCGAAGGCGACUUACUGGACGAUUGUUGACGCUGAGGUGCGAAAGCGUGGGGAGCAAACAGG